CGGGCGCCGGCUGCCCGCGCCGCGAGCGGCCGAGCUGUCAGUGGGAGGAUCAGCCCAGUUGAGCUGAGCCGAGAGGAGCCAAGACCACCGUCCUCGUCUCCCGGAGCCGGAGCCGCUCAGCCUCCACGCCGAGUCCACCCAGCGCCGUGAUGCUGCUGCUCGCCCUGAGGCGGGCGCGGGGCAGGGGCCGGGGGCGACCGGCCUGGGGUCCCCGCCGCGCGCGCUCGCCGCCCUGGAGCCCCGCCUGGAUUUGCUGCUGGGCGCUCGCUGGCUGCCAGGCAGUCUGGGCUGGGGACUCGUCCUCUUUGGGCCGCCCGCUUCCUGCGUGCCAGGAGAAAGAUUACCACUUUGAAUAUACAGAAUGUGAUAGCACUGGCUCCAGGUGGAGGGUCGCCAUUCCGAAUUCUGCAGUGGAUUGCUCUGGCCUGCCUGACCCAGUGAGAGGCAAAGAAUGCACUUUCUCCUGUGCUUCUGGAGAGUAUCUAGAAAUGAAGAACCAGGUAUGCAGUAAGUGUGUCGAAGGCACUUACUCCCUGGGCAGUGGCAUCAAAUUUGAUGAAUGGGAUGAGUUGCCGGCAGGAUUUUCCAACGUUGCAACAUUCAUGGACACUGUGGUGGGCCCUUCUGACAGCAGGCCAGAUGGCUGUAACAACUCUUCUUGGCUUCCUCGUGGGAACUAUAUAGAGUCUAACCGUGAUGACUGCACUGUGUCUCUGAUCUACGCUGUACACCUUAAGAAAUCAGGCUACGUCUUCUUUGAGUACCAGUAUGUGGACAACAACAUCUUCUUUGAGUUCUUUAUUCAGAAUGACCAGUGCCAGGAGAUGGAUGCCACCACAGACAAGUGGGUGAAGCUCACAGACAACGGAGAAUGGGGCUCCCACUCCGUAAUGCUGAAAUCAGGCACAAAUAUUCUGUACUGGAGGACGACAGGCAUCCUUAUGGGUUCUAAGGCAGUCAAGCCUGUGCUAGUAAAAAAUAUCACCAUUGAAGGAGUGGCGUAUACCUCGGAGUGCUUUCCAUGUAAGCCAGGCACUUUCAGCAACAAACCAGGCUCAUUUAACUGCCAAAUGUGCCCCAGGAACACCUAUUCUGAGAAGGGUGCUAAAGAAUGCAUCAGGUGUAAGGAGGACUCCCAAUUUUCAGAGGAAGGAGCCAGUGAGUGUGUGGAUCGUCCACCCUGCACUACCAAAGACUAUUUCCAGAUCCAUACUCCCUGUGAUGAAGAAGGGAAGACACAGAUAAUGUACAAGUGGAUAGAGCCGAAAAUCUGCAGGGAAGAUCUCACAGAUGCUAUUAGGCUGCCCCCUUCUGGAGAGAAGAAGGAUUGUCCCCCUUGCAACCCAGGAUUCUAUAACAAUGGCUCUUCUUCUUGCCAUCCCUGCCCUCCCGGGACGUUUUCGGAUGGCACAAAGGAAUGCAAGUCGUGUCCGGCCGGAACAGAGCCAGCACUUGGGUUUGAAUAUAAAUGGUGGAAUGUCCUUCCCACCAACAUGAAAACUUCCUGCUUCAAUGUUGGGAAUUCCAAGUGCGAUGGGAUGAAUGGUUGGGAGGUGGCUGGAGAUCACAUCCGGAGUGGAGCUGGAGGCUCGGACAACGACUAUCUCAUCUUAAACUUGCAUAUCCCGGGAUUUAAACCGCCAACAUCUAUGACUGGAGCCACAGGUUCUGAACUAGGAAGGAUAACGUUUGUAUUUGAGACUCUCUGCUCAGCUGACUGUGUUCUGUACUUCAUGGUGGAUAUAAAUAGAAAAAGUACCAAUGUGGUGGAGUCAUGGGGAGGAACCAAAGAAAAGCAAGCUUAUACGCAUGUCAUAUUCAAGAAUGCAACGUUUACAUUUACAUGGGCAUUCCAGAGAACCAAUCAAGGUCAAGACAACAGACGUCUCAUCAAUGAUGUGGUGAAGAUUUAUUCAAUCUCAGCCACGAAUGCAGUUGAUGGGGUAGCAGCAUCAUGUCGGGCCUGUGCCCUGGGUUCUGAGCAGUCGGGAUCAUCAUGUGUGCCCUGCCCCCCAGGCCACUACAUCGAGAAAGAAACCAAUCAGUGCAAGGAGUGUCCAGCUGACACCUACCUGUCCAUCCACCAGGUCUAUGGCAAGGAGGCUUGCAUUCCAUGUGGGCCUGGGAGUAAAAGCACCCAGGAUCACUCGCUUUGCUACAGUGACUGCUUUUUCUACCAUGAAAAAGAAAACCAGAGUCUGCACUAUGACUUCCGCAACCUCAGCAGUGUGGGCUCUCUAAUGAAUGGCCCCAGCUUCACCUCCAAGGGAACCAAAUACUUCCAUUUCUUCAAUAUCAGUUUAUGCGGGCAUGAGGGGAGAAAGAUGGCUCUCUGCACCAACAAUAUUUCAGAUUUUACAGUAAAGGAGAUGGUGACAGGGUCAGAUGAUUUGAAUUUGGUUGGAGCAUUUGUGUGCCAGUCAACUAUUAUUCCUUCAGAAAGUAAGGGCUUCCGGGCAGCCCUGUCAUCCCAGUCGAUCAUUCUGGCAGAUACAUUUUUAGGAGUCACAGUGGAAGCUUCCUUGCAAAACGUUAAUAUCAAGGAGGAUAUGUUCCCAGUGUCACCCAGCCAAGUUCCAGAUGUGCAUUUCUUCUAUAAGUCUUCCACAGCCACCACGUCUUGUAUUAAUGGCCGAUCGACUGCUGUGAAAAUGCGAUGUAAUCCCAUGAGACCUGGUGCAGGUGUGAUAUCGGUCCCCAGCAAGUGUCCAGCUGGCACCUGCGAUGGUUGUACAUUCUACUUCCUAUGGGAGAGUGCGGAAGCUUGCCCUCUAUGCACAGAGCAUGACUUCCAUGAGAUCGAGGGAGCCUGCAAGAGAGGGCUUCAGGAAAUCUUAUAUGUAUGGAAUGAGCCUAAGUGGUGCAUUAAAGGAAUUGCUUUGCCCGAGAAGAAAUUGUCAACGUGUGAAACAGUUGACUUUUGGCUGAAAGUGGGAGCUGGUGUUGGGGCAUUCACAGCUGUUUUGUUGGUGGCUUUAACGUGCUACUUUUGGAAAAAGAAUCAAAAGCUGGAAUACAAAUAUUCUAAAUUAGUAAUGACGACUAACUCCAAAGAGUGUGAACUCCCAGCUGCAGACAGCUGUGCUAUCAUGGAAGGAGAAGAUAAUGAAGAGGAUGUUGUAUAUUCCAACAAGCAGUCACUACUAGGGAAGCUUAAGUCUUUGGCCACAAAGGUCCAGAAAGAUUAGUGACCUGGGGUACUACAUCCAGCACAGGCAUGUUGAAAACUUCACUGCUAGGCUCCUUAAGAGACUCCAUUGGAAAAAGACGACCACUUUGAAUCUGUUCAGCUGAAAUCCUCAAGAUGCCCCAAUAUAUGAAGAGACAAUGCUGUAGCAUUCAGGACCCCCAUUAGGACUUGUCCUCACACCUGACAUGGCUGUGAUCUCACCGAGGUGGUGUGCCAGCGAGAGGAGUAGGCAAAACUGCUGAUUGCCUUAUAACACGUCACAUACUUUGUCAAACUACAGAAGACAGAUGAUGUGGGUCUCACUGAAGAUGAAGCUUAACUCAGGAAGCGAUUUAGCUGUAUAUACUCAUGACUGAAAUCCAAGUUUUAGCCCACCAAUGCACUGCUGAUGCAUGCCAUACUAUUACUGGGUAACUUUAAUUCUUUAUACCGUCUACAUACAAAAUAUGUGUUGGAAGGCAGACAUAAGCAUACGCCUUGUGUUUCCACAUAUGUCUUGUUCUUGUACUUUGGGGAAGAUUUGGGGGAAAAAUUAAGUUAUAAUUAUUUUUGCCUUUAUUUCUCCAAGACUUGAAAACAUCUUUUUUUUAAAAUUGAAAUGAUGAGCAAAAUGAAAGACAAUAAAUUUUCAUAGGGUAUUUUCUCUUGACUUCAGAAAGACUAGGAUAUUAGUAAUAUUUUGUGAAGUUACUUACUUGGGUUAUCUAAGGUGGUAAUCACUUUUAAAAACUUCUUUCCUUGUUGGAACUAGUAUGAAAAAAUUUAAGUAAUUGCUUGAAGUCAUCUCAUGGGAUGGGGUGGGAGGCAAUAAAAGCCAAGAAGAAAGCUCAAUAUUCCAUUCAUUCAAACAAACUGGCUUUAUCAGGAGUCAGAGGCUUAAAGCACUUGAGUGUCAAUAUAGACUAAAGCUUGGGUAGUACCCUAUUUUGCAGACCCCUGCACAGUCAUAAGAAAGGAGAGGGAGUGCUUGACCCUAAGCACAGAAAGCUCUACUUGUCCGGGUAACCGAAGGUCAUACCAAGUGUCAGCUGGGCUUUCCCUCGACAUCAGGCACCACCCAGAGUGCUAGAGGUGUCUAUUUUUCCCUUGCUAGAAGACUUUGAGGAUUAUAAAUAUCUUGAAGAUUUUAUUUUUAAGCCAAUAAGGGAGAAAUUCAAUUUUUGAAGUGCGGAUACCUGUAUUCACAGUCAGAUCCUUCUGAGCAAUGUGUCGUUCCUGUUCGAAAGCAACCCAGAAACUUGUGACAUUUCUCACAGUGGAUUAUGAGUAUCAUUGUGACUUGGAUAUUACUUUUGAAGGAAGUUUGGUGAUGAAUUUGAUCAAGUUUGUGUAAACUUUUUAGACCUGGGAAUUAGAGUGUCUUACCCAUUCCUGAUAUAAGAUGUUUUGGUUUGUUUCUAAUAAACCAAUAAUCUUUACAGACCUUAACCACAUACUUAAAAAGAUUUUUGAUGGGCUGCAGCGGGCAAAGCAUACGGGUAAGGUUUCCACCAUGUGUUUUGCCUGAGGUGUUUCAGUGCUUGUAAUGUUUGAUUUUUGUGGGUGAUGUAGUCUUUAUUUUUGUGAAAAAUGGGAGAAAAUGAAUAAAUGAAUAAUUGUGCUUAUUGGCCAGUGGGUAAACCACUAGACCUUUUUGCUACCACUAAAAGAAUGGUUGUAUGUGUGUGUUUUGUGUGUGUGUGUGUGUGUGUGUGUGUGUGUGUGUGUGUGUAUGUACAUGUGUAUAUGUAUGUGUGUAUGUAUGUAUCUACUACUAAAUAUGAAAAUAGGUGAUGUAUUAUUGUUUGUCGUAAGACUGAAAAGAAUGUUACUUAGCAUAAUUUUGUAUUUAAUUUCUUGAAUAUCCUAAAUUAUUUUAGCUUUGCUCAUUUUUGUCUCAAUAUCAGAAUAUUGGCAUGCCUUUCCCUAUCAUAAUCAAAAUUUAACCAGAAGAGUGGGAAUACACUUGAACUACCACUUAGAGGAACAGGUGGAAACGUAGACUGGACAGAGUCAGAAAGCAUCUUCUGUCACCUGUCACCCCUCUUCACCCUCUGCUGUGCUCAACAUGUAUGUUCCAAGCCAUAGAAAUAAUUGGGAUUUGUUCCCAGGUUCUUCUUCUUUCUCUUGUCACUGGACUAAAAUCUCUGACAUGUCAAAAAUGCCUUAAAUUUUAAUGAACUCUCUGAAAAUGCAGUAGAUAUUGAAGAAGUUAUUUUAUUUCUAAUUUUAGAUAUUAAAUAGAUUUUUUUUUGUCAGCUCGGUCCCAUCUUUGGAUUCCCAUGGCUCGUCAUUUUAUUCUAAGAGCUGAAGAACUAUGACAGAACAUUAUGAGGAGAAUAUGCAGAACAAUUCUAGCUGUAAAAUUCUGUUUAGUUUUAUGUAUGGCCUUUGACAAGCCCAGUGAAAUGUUGAAAGCUAUAAUCAAAUCAUUCCGCUUUUAUGAUUUAUUGACAUGUCCUCUCCCCAUCACUACUAGUGAUAGAAAAAUACAUUAUUUAUUACUUUUCUUCUAAAAGGCAUACUUUUGAGCCUUAAAUAGUUCAUUAAGUCAUCUGUUGUGUAUAACAUCUCUUAGCACUGUGUCAAAACAUAUUUAAGUCAAUUUUCUACUGGAUGAGAACAUGUCGUCUAUGGAUAAGUUAUAUUAUGCUAUUUGCCAAUGUCAAGCAAUUUGGUAUAUAGUCACUUGAUUUAAAAUACUGAAUUUUAUUAUUAUUGACCUUUCCCGUCUUUGGUUACUAAUAAUCAUAUCCUUCUUAGGAUUAAACAUAUUUCAUUGUACUUUUGUGUAGACUUCUGUCAUUAUUUUUCUCCCCUAAAAUGAUGGUUUAAGUUAGUGUGCUGGAAGAAUUACUUGAGACCAGUUAUUCAUUAUCUGGGUUCUCAGGUGCUGAGUAACAGCUGGUUUGCUUUAUGUUUCUUCUGGCCAAGAGUUGUUUGAUGCCAUAGGUAACAGUGUUUCCCAUGGUUCACGGUCAUCCCUAAUGGCCAAUGUUCCUAUUUUCCUCAUAAAACCUAGUUGCUUGGUUAGUGUAAAAUGUGCUGCUAAUAUUUGUAUUCUCAUAUUGAUAUGUUAGAUACCUUCUGAGGGCGAGAUGCUGAUGUACAAAGUAGUAUAGAUAAAGAUGGGGUACUAGAGAGGCUUCCCCGCUUACUUAUAGCAUCUGUUCACGUAGGGUGACCUCAGCGCUCACCCAUUUACCAGGUCCAGUUUCAAUAUGAAACUGCAAGUGGCAUUUAGCUUUCCUUUAACGAUUGCUGGCUCACCAAAACCUCCAGUUUCUUUGAAUGAAAUGUCCAUUAAGACCUUAGUUAGCUGGAUUUUUCUUCAUUGUAUUAACUCCCGGAGAGAGGCUUCUAUUUAAAAUACCUUAGGAGUUUUGGCAAACGAUUGAGCAAUCUUUCCUCUAUGUCAGAUAGCUGAUUUAAAUCCUAUUGGCUGCUUUCUAAAUAAAAAGGGGAACCCAAUAAGAAUUAUGUAAAGCCAAGCCUGCUACUGCAGAAAAGGAGGGUUAAUGGUGUCACCCACGGGUGGGUAGUUCACACCUCUCUUCCUGGCCUUUCACAUUUUCUCACACAGACAGGCUACUGGAUUCAAAAUGCUCACAAUGAGGAAGUGGAUGAUGCAGGUCCUAGCUGAGAGAACAUGUGCACCCAAAGCCUGUAAAGACAGAGAUUACCUUUCUCAGUCAUUCUUUACAUCUGUCCUCGGUGUUGUCCAGAAGCCGGCUUGCCUCGCACUGUAAAAAUAGUAACAGUUUUCCUUCACCAAGCUAAACUUGGGUGGGCGGAAAAAUCUAUUAAUAUUUAAGCGUGAGAAGACAUAGAGUACAGUAACUAUUCAGAAACACAAGGCAAGCAGUUAGCUUGCUUCUAAAAGUUCCUUUUAUGAAUAGGAUCUAUCAUUUUAGCAUGGGAAUUCUUAAAUUUAGGGACAUUUUGCAGAGAUGAAUCAAUCUGCAUUACCUUCUGGCAGGAUGAAAUGUUGUUACUAAUGUGGGGGAAACAAGGCUUCCAAAACUAUUUUUUAAUGGCUUAUAUAAAAGUGAUUUUUUAAUCACAUCUAUUUUCCAUACAUAUGUUGAAUGUUCAUAAAAAUUAUUUCUAGGGAUCAUAUGGUAGAUGAAAUUUCUAAUUAAAAAACGAAGUCUAUAUCAAGGGUAGAGAAGAAUGACAAGAGCUGCCUGUUACUGCAUUUUUAGUAUACUGACAGGAUAUAAAACACAGCGAGUAUAAAAACCCAGCCCUCCAAACUACAGUUUUCUCAUGGUUUAGACACGAGCUGAUUGUCUUGCUUUAAGAUCCAUGAUCAGCUUGACUGUGAGAGGCGUCAGCUGCACCUCUGAACAGCCUAUCUGAUAUUGCUGUCCUCGGACUGUCCCAUUCCAUCAGGGAACGGAGUUUGUUUUCUCUCUCAUCAGCUUGCUGAGCCACUGUCCCAAGCAGAUGCUCAUCCAGAGCCUGCUUCUCAGGCACCCUUGCCAAUCGCAGUCAGAGUGGAAUUUCUUGUGCUAUUUAGCGCCUUUGAAUUCGUUACUCAACCUACACUAGCUCACUCCCCAGAUUUCAGAUUCUUACUUGAGUAUGAGAAUUCAAGGAGUGCUCCGGACCACAGUUUUCUUCCUCUGGUUGGCGAGAGCUGGAUUUCUUAGGUUGCACAUUCAAAUGCAGACAGAAGAAUUUAGCUUCCCAUUUCCUUCAAGGCCAAUCUCCUUGGCCUUUGAGCCCCUGUUCAUUCUUUUUAGAUUACUAAAAAUAGUAUUAUUAUGGCUUACUCAUUUCAAAUACUCUCAUACAUUUAAUUCUAUACUUCAUUCCUUUCUCAGUCGUUCUUGACUGCUUUUCAAACUAUUUUCUCGUGCAUGCAAAGCAAACACCAAUUGACUUAUCACCACAUCGAUAGUUUGUGCUUUUCAAACGCAGGAACUAGAUGGACUAUACCUCAUUUGUCCUUCUAUUGUGGGCUAAAUAGCGGCCUCUCAAAAAUAUGUCACAUCCUAGUUCCUGAACCCUGAGAACACUCUUUUAUUUUAAAAUCAAAUCAAAUCAAAACAAACACCAAAAUGAACAAAAGAAAACAGCAACAACAAAAAAACUUCAAACAAAUGACCUAUUAAAAAUGUCAAGAUAUAAGCAUCCUGGGUUAUCUAGGUCAUUCUAAAUCUAAUGACACAUGGCAUUUCAAGAGACAAAAGACAAGACAGACACAGUGGUGAAUAUGAUAUGAAGACUGGACAGAGUUUGAAAUGAUGUGGCCAUAGGCCAAGGAGCUGUGUAACUACCAGGUGCUAGAAAAAAGAUGGGGUGGGUGAUUUCUUUGAAUCUAUAAGGCAGCCUGGUCCUUCUGACUCCUUCAUUGUGAAAGAAUAAAUUUUUGUUGUUUUAAGCCACAUACAUUAUAACAUUUCCCCCCCCCCCCCAUAAUCACAGGAAACAAAGGUACUUCCUGCCCUGUAUGUGACAUAGGUUUUACAGAUAGAUGUGUUGGUCAAUAUUUAACCCAACAUUGAUAAAUUAUUUGUAACCAAAAGUUUGAUAGAAGCAGGACAAUAUUUAGUAAGAUUAAUGAAGUUUUGUCUUACUCAUACCAUUCAUGACUUGUUUUGGGUUAAUAAAAUAUUUAAAUGUAAUGACA